rnacentral:lncRNA from 1 species
GGGCUAUCAGACUUUCUGGCGCCUGACCCUUAACGUUCAGAGAUGAUUUUUAAUCAACUUUGUGCAUAUCUUUCGGUAAGACUGAAAGCCGACCCUAACAUAGUUAGCGAACCUCAAGUCAAUAAGUAAUUGAAUAUAUUGUACUGACUGUGCAUACCUCCAUAGACACGGUUUUACCGUAGAUUUUUGUAUCGGAAAAGUGUGUGUGAUUAAGACGCCAGAAGCUAGUCUGUAGUAUAUUCAACUCUAUUAUUUUUAUUAGUAUUACUUAACCUAUGUAUUCCGAUGAGUAUGAAGUUAGUAUGUGACUGCGCGGGAAUACCAUUUUUUACUGCACAGCUAAUUAGCUAACUUCACGCUCCACGACCGGUAUAUAAAGUCAUGGAAUUAUUAAAAUGAACUAUUUUCCUCUCAGACAUUGAGACAGACACGUUUUCAUCAUGAAGUUAUUUUUAUUAGUAUUUUUUAUGGCGUUGGUAUCAGCCACAGUGUGGACGGCAAGUUUGCCAACAGUGAAACAAUUGAUAGACAAUAAUUCACACUCGAGGGUCAAAAGGCAAGCCUUUAUGAACCCGAGUUGUUUGUGCCCAAAAAAUCAUGUAUUCCUGAUACAGAAGUGCGUAACUUGUGAAGAAUAUAAAAAUUCAACAGACGCAGACGAGUGCCCAUAUUGUCAAAAAUAGACCUCUUCUCAAAAUGAACCCAGUAUUUUAUUUUAUUGAACUGUUGUCAAGUAAGUAGGAGAAUGAAGAAUCAUAAUCGCUGAAAUUAUAUCUAUUUUUAUAUAAAAAAUAAAGUAUCAUCAGGUUAAUUGUAGGAUUUUCCUCACAAAUUCUGUUUUUGCACACGGAAGAAGAAAAAAGAUAGAAAUAUUGUGUCGAAAUUAUUACCUUGAGUAGAGCUGUUAUUUUUACAAACAUAUGUAUACACACAAUACACAUUGCACCUUGCAUCACCACGGACGAGGGUGUUGGUGAAGGAAUUCUGUGGCUGUCCUGAGCGCUAUUACCACCAAGAUGCACGUGUGUCAAAGGAAGCUAAACGGCGCUUUCACACUGGCCGAUUUUCCGCUCGAUAUUUAAAUGACAUUGUCGCUUAGUUAGUUGAAUAUUUGAAAAAUCGGCGAAUGUAAAAAAGCUGUAGAACCGAGCGACAGAUUUUUGCCCUUGGACUGUGCUGGGCUAGAAAUCCACCAGGGUGAAAGCACUGAAAACUACUCGACCCUUGAGUGAGGUCGGCUGGUGUACCUACGUGCCAAAGGUGCAUAGGAGUUAAUGUUAAAAUGAGAUACGCAUAUGUAUUUAUUGAGGCGGUGCACGGGCCGUAUAUGAAUCAUAUAAUUUUAAAGUAAAUGAGGAAAAUUGUUAAUUAAUUCAUGAAAUAAAGUCGUAAACUUUACAAUUAA